rnacentral:rRNA from 1 species
GACAGAGGGUGCAAACGUUGCUCGGAAUUAUUGGGCGUAAAGCGCACGUAGGCGGCUUUGCAAGUCGGAUGUGAAAUCCCUCGGCUUAACCAAGGAAGUGCAUCCGAAACUGCAGAGCUUGAGUACUUAAGAGGAUCGCGGAAUUCUCGGUGUAGAGGUGAAAUUCGUAGAUAUCGAGAGGAACACCGGCGGCGAAGGCGGCCAACUGGACCACUACUGACGCUGAGACACGAAAGCGUGGGGAGCAAACAGG